CAGCAAAUUUGCAAUUACUUACGUCAGAAUUUUAAGUAUAUAAACAUUCAACAGUAAUGUGUUGAAUAUUAUAUUCAUAUGAUUUAAAAGCCUUUAGAAAUUUUUAUUUUUAAACAUACACCAAAAACUUUAUGAAAGUAAAUAUCCAUUCAGGUUCUCAACCACUUCAAAUACCACCAACGCCAAAAAAAUUUAAUCAAGUGCACGAAAACUAGAAUAUAUUUAAAACUACAAUAAAUACAUUAGUUAAUGAAAAAUCCUUUUUAAAAAAUAUCAUGGAUGCAUACAUAAAUACUAAGAGAAAUGUAUAAAAGGAAAUAAAAGUAACAAUAACUUGAAGAACAAAAUGUAUAAGACUGUGAAUAUUUAUGAUUUGUGGUCUAAGAUAUAUUCAACUUAUUGUCCUAAUCAAGGCGGAAUAAACAUUGAAUAAUAUUUCUUUAAAAAUUAUAUAUACAUAGAAAUAUUUUUAGUGGUAGGGUAUAUUUAUAAUUUCCAAUAUUUGGCCAAAUAAAGAAAAAGGAAACCUGCAUGUAUAUAACCAUGAAAAGAAAACUACUUUAAAUAACUUAAUCAAAACAACAACCACGUACAAGUAAAUCCGAUGAACGUCCCAACCUCAAAAGAAAUAAGGUGUAAGAGUUUUUUUGCAAAAAAAGAUGGUAUAAGAGCAAAAAUCCCAAGACAUGACAUAUAGUUUUGUACUAACAGCUUACCAACCAAUUUAAUUUACAUAGUUCAUUUAACAAUAAUCAAACUAAGCAAAUAUCCCUAAUCAAAGCAAAUAUUGGUAGCUUCAUAGUCUAUUUAGUAUUCAAAUACAUUAACAUGUACAAUAUUUAACUAAUAUGUAUAUUUUUAUAUGAUACAAAUUUAUAUUAAACAUUCAUUCUAACUAUUUAAAUUGUUUUUAAAUUUUUAUCCCGCCAGUAAGGCGAACCGGCCCUAAUCUUUAUAUAUAAAAGACUGUUUGCUUCUCUCACAGGCCUCCACGUCAUCGUCCACGUAGGAAAGUCGCGCGUCUUGGAGUCGCCACGUGUCCCCCUCCUGAAAAACUCACCGUUUUCGUACGAGUUUUUUUUUGUUGUUUUUGGCAAAUUUGGGCUUCGGUCCGUUCGUCGCUUCCUGCGAAUAACAUCAUAAAGCGUCACCCCGCUAAACCUAAUUAUCACCUUCGUUCAUCCGAGUCUGAUCUCGGCGGCGAGAAUGACGAUCCAUCGUUCUCAUUCUCCCUGUAACAGAACUUGACUUUAAUGGCAUCAAUGCGUUCGUCGAGAUCUCCGUUAUAAAUAGGUUUUUUUUUCUGAUUUGAAGACCAGGAAGUGUUCAAACGUUAAGCGGGAUGGAUAUUGCGGCUUCAUCUAAUCUCUUUGCAAUCUAAUCGCGUCUUCACACAGCUUCUUCCUCGUUUAUCUCCGCACCAAACAGGAAUUGAGUUUUUAUCCUCGCCAAAUCAUGCCCAGACAAUCAGAGCUUCGGUUCGAACGAUUCCAAUUCUUCACUGGAGACAAACCAACGAAACCCAGGGCAUCAGCAAUCGAUGUCAAGGAGACAGUGAAUGAUGACAUGUGUGUGCUUAUCUCCAGCUUUAAUUACCAAUGCCUACACUUUGGUCUCUGUACAAAACGCAGAUGCUUUAGACAAGAAACCAUGAGUUUGCCGUAACUGCCAGGGCAUUGGUACUGUUCUUUGUGAUAUGUACGGGGGUACAAGAAAAUGGAAAGCUCCCAACCGAAAACGAGCCAAAGAUAGGUUUGAGUUUACAGAAUGUCCGAACUGUUAAGGUGGAGGGUUUUCCCAGUCUGUUUAGGUACAUGUUUACCAAACAACAAAGGACUCCUUAGAAGGUGGUGCUCGUACAAUGUACAAUGGUUGCCUUCUUCCCAAUUCUUGAGCAGCACAAUGGCAAUAGUUAUGAUUAUAGAAGAGGAAGAAAAGUAAUACAUUGUCGACGCAUGUGAAGCUAUAGGAGAAUGGGAUGCUAGAACAUGUUUUUGUAAUGCUGCUAGAAAUGUGUUGUUAAUUCUUUACAAACCUAAGAGUUUUCAUCUUCCUUAGACAGUCUUGAUGACUCAAUUUCACAUUCCCUACAUCGAUGACAACGAUACAAACUUCAGUCCUCAGACAUGAACCAGUCCCUGAGAAGAACCUCUUCCCUAUGCAUUUGAAAGAAAAAAAUGUAACACCCCAUCAGCCUUAUAUGUUGGAUUGAGAUAUGACCGAAAUUGAUAGUAAUCCGAUAUACUUAUUUAAACUAAAAUAACUUGACGCCUGAUCCUUAUAAGGGAAGGAAAAGACAAAAAAAAAAAAAUAAGGAGGACAAGAGAAAAGAAAGGAAUGAGGAGGAGAAAAAAACUAGACGACUGAAGGAGAGGAAGAUGAUGAUAAUGGCAGCGUCGAUUUCUUUAGAAAGAGGAAGUUAUAAAUAAUAAUUUUUAGUCAAAAAAAGUUAUAUAAAAUUAUGUAUUGUCUUGACCAGAAAAUAGGUACAUAGGUACACGUCUACACACAACACACAGUAAAACACACAUAGAUGGUUUAAAAGUUAACUAAUUCAUUAAAUAACUAAUCGGUUAAGCAAAUCAUGUCAUUACAAUUUUCUAAAACACAGAGAAUGUUUCUGUUCAAAAGUUAAUUCAUUCAUUAACAAAACUAAUUGGUUAAGUAAAUCAGGUUAGGUAAAUUUUGGUGUUAUAUAAUUAAAAAAAAUUAAAGAAUUUUUUACCUCAACAUUCAAAUUUUUUUAUAAUGAUGAAUCACAUUAUUUUAUUAUUUAUUUCAUAUUCAUAUUUCAUAUUUUAAAUUUAAAUUUGCCUAUUAACAAUUUCCAGUUGAUUAUUUUAAAUAAAUAAACUAAAACAGCAUUUUCAUCAAAAAUCCUAACAAUUAAUAAAUCUAAUUUAUUUUUAUAAUAUUGCAAAUGAGAAUUUAUUUUUUAAGUAAAUAUAAAUUCACUAACAUUGUUAACUUCGUUUUCGUAUAUAAUAUUUACAUACUGUAUAACGCAAAGAAAUGAUUUUGUAUAGUAAAAUUAAUGUAAGGAUUAUAUAUUAUAAGUUAGUCAGUUAUAUAUAUAAAUAUUUUUUUUUGGUCAAGUUAGACAGUUAUAUUUGUUUCAAAACUUCGAAUUAAUUAUAUUGAUAGCAUGAUUAUUUUAGUUAUAAGAUAGCUCUGACAUCUCUCCAGAACUGUUGGAUUUUUUUACUUUCAAACCCAUAAGAACUAUAAGUACUAUAUUCAGUUUAGCGUAGUUUUUUUUAAAUUGGUUUUAUAUUUUUACACUUUCACACCAGAUGUUACCUUUCAAAGAAUAAAUUCUCUUUGCCUACGUGUGUUGUCCUUAUGCUUCAAAUUAAUAGCUAUAACUUAAUCUCCUUUAAAACAGAAAUGAACAAUUUUCUUAAAAACAAAAGACAUACCAAACCGUAAUGCACACUUUAGUUCCAACCCAAUAUAUUUCAAAUAAGUUUGUAGGUGUUCAGCACCUUAUACUCUGACAUGCAAAUCAAAUAUACACAUCCACACAUUUAAGAGCCCAAAUUAGAGAAACCCACAAUUAACCAACAAAUUAUAGAUUAAUAAUUGUAAAUAAAUACAAUAAGAAAGUCCACAUACACCUCAGACAUAAUCUCUACAAACCCUAAUAUUAUUUAAGACCAUAAACGUCAAAAUACACUGUUUUUGCAAAACAAACAUAAAAUACAAACAACGGAAGUAUAUAAUUAUAUAGUUACAUAGAUCACAUGUAAACCAAAUUCCGCGCUACGCGCGUACCGACCCUAGUCUAUUUAUAUAAAGUAGAGUUUAUUCACUCCAGAACACGCCACCUCAGCAGACAGGUCAGAAAGUCAUGUUCUAAAAAAGUGACACGUGUCUCAGGAAGACAAAACACAUUCUCUCCCCUUCAUUCUACGGCGUCGACGCCUGAGUUUCUUCAGAUUAUCUGAAACGGUCCGAUUUAAGGCUUUCGUGUUAAAUCUCAUUGAUUCAGUCGCUCACGAUGAGUUCUGCGAGACGGUGUGUGUUAGGUAUAAAUAUGUGAACAUAAGGGCGAUCAAGCUUCCAUGCGUUCAUGAUAUUUUGAGAUGCAAUCAACUCAAGCUUUAAACCAGGUCUUCGUGGCUUCAUCAAAACAUGAAUCUAAGAAGGCUCCGUACAAUGAUUUUGAGGGUCCUGGUUUCAAUCCCUAAUACCGUUUAAGAAUCAGUUGACUGGAAGCGGCAGUACCUAAAGUUUGGGUAGAUCGAGUUUCCAGGUUUUGCUUUCAUACUACUCUGACUACUUUAUGAAAUCUGAUGAAGUUCUUCAAAAGGAAACUAACGUUAAUUCUUUGAACAAAUUGUUUUUUGAGGUUUUGUUUUAAGCCUUCUUCUCUGACCAUUUUAUGAAAAUCCGAUGUUAUCACUUACAAGGUUUUGAGAAAUUAACAGAGUCUUGGGAAGGAAUUGAAUUAAAAGAGGGUGAACAACUUCAAACAUGCAAGGCAAAACAAACCACUUUGGCCUCGAAAUUACCUUCUUCCCAACUUAUUAUCCACUGCAAAAAAACCACUGGAAAUGUAAAGCGUCAAUUAUAGAGAAAGUUAGCCUUAUUUUCAAUUUAAUUGCUUAUAGAUUGAGAACUAACCUGUAGGAAAUGUCGGUGAUGGAUUGUUUAUAGAUUCUAUAUCAGAUUGAUUAAUGGGCUAACAGGGUUUAAUGAUGGCAAGAAUUUUCAUAUAAUAUUGUAGGAAAUGUUUUCUCACAGAUUAAUUGUUUUCUGGUCUGGUCAGGUCAACAAGAUUUGGUUUCCUAAAGUUUCUGGUGUUGUUCCUGUCAUCCUGAUGUGAUAACUUCUAAUUGUUCUGAGCAGUGUUGGCAAGGGGAUAAAGCUUUAAGAUUAAAUGAGUGCAUUGUUAAGGCUCCCUUAUCUCAGUAAAUUCAUCGCUCAAAAGAUUGCGUUGCAGGUUAGAUCAUUCCGAGAAUUUCAAGAGCUUCACUUGGAAGAACGUCUUCAACUCCUGCGGGGGUUGCUGGUUUGUCGGAGAGCAAUGUUGUAGACAUCGAGAAGGUGUAUAGAAAAGAUACCUUCUUUGAAAGUAGGAGUCACGUGCAAAACAGAAGGUGAUAGUUCAAGCUUGGAUCACUCUAAAACUUUUCAAUUGACUCUUAGGCGCUAUUCCGCCCUCUCCUUACCACAAAGAGAAAGGCUUAUGGGCUCUUCUUGCGGAUUCAAACAAUGUAUGGCUCUUUCAAAAGACAUUGAAAAGUUUAGGAGCAAGCGUCGAGGCAAAGAACAAUGAAGUUAGAGAAGGUUAAAAGCCGAUCAAGAUUGGAAAUGGGGAAACGCUAAAAACUUGCAGAAGAUACUAAUAAUUUGACUUGCUUAUGAGUUUGGCGUAAGAGAUGCUUGGAUCAGUUGUGAUCAAAAGACAUUACUUAAAGUUGAGGUUUUGAAAAGAACCAGUGAUUUGGAGGGUGAGGUUACAGAAGAAGGCAUGGAGGAGGAAGAAGAAAAUGAGAAUGAAGAGAAUUAUGAAAGCAAAUAUAGUGAGGAAGAGGAAGAUAAGAAGAAAGGAUCAAAGAGAGUAAAAAAGAUGGGAUCAGAUGAAGAUUGAAAAACAAAAAGGCGUCAAACCUGCACUGUGUAGGUUUUUGCCUCCAAAAUUUACAGUGAUACUCAAUGACUUUAGCCUGUUAUUUGUUCUUCCGCUGAUUUCGUAGACGUUUUGGAUUUUGAUGGUUUUGGACUUUUGUUAACUCUUUAAUUUAUGUCUUGAUCCGACUCUUCUAAGCUUUACUGUAAAAUAAGUUAAUGCUUCCUGUUUCGGUUAUUUACCUGGCUUUGGAUGUGUUUUAAGGGUUUUACUGGGUACAGAGGCUGUUAUGAGAACUUAUGGUUUUGUUGCUGUUUAUCAAAUACACCAGAUCUAGAAAUAAUAUAAUUUGGUAAGGUGAACAUAACCCUUAUACAAGCAACUAUACAAUAGAGAAAAAAAAUAUAACAAAAAUGAAACAGAUCCACAUUUGCGCGGUUGAAAUAUGUGAAGAAAAAAACACCUACUUUCACAUAUUAUUGAACAUCAAAAACGAAAAACAUGUUGGUGACGAGUCACGAGCAAAACAAAAUUGAUAACAAACAUAAAUCCCAAUAUAUUUAAAGAUUUAAUAACCCACGUUAGUUAACCAUCUAAUCUAAUAGUCUUUCCAUUUCAAAAAUAUAUAUGGUUUAGAACUUUUACCACUAUUAAGAAAACAUACGAAAUUUUGAUUAUCAAUAGAUUAAUUUCUAAACUAACUAUUUUUCGUAAUUUUUAACCAAUAAAAUUUUAAUAAAAAACAUUUAUAUUUUUUUUGAAAUUUACAAUUAACCAUUUAGUAAUGAAUUGAAAAUGUAAAAAAAAAAUAUUUUUAAAACCAUUUUUUUUUCUAUAAUGUGGAUUUUCGAUACAGAAGGAAGUAUAAUAUAUGUUAAUUAAAUAUCAUAAUAUUUGUACUAUUAAGUUAAAUUAAAAACAAUUUGUAGAAAUUAAAUAAUUUUUAUCUUUUGUAAGUAAUUUUAUAAUAUAAUCAAAUAUUAAUUAUAAACUGAGGGCGCCAUGUCAGCAAGAACAUUCUGGAUGCGAAUGUAAAUUGUGAAUGAUGUAGUUGUGAUGAUAUAACUGUAUUAUUAUUAUUUUUUAAACAAAAACUUAGGUCAGAAAUGGAAUCUUCAUAGUAAAGUAGCCAAAUGUGCAUGCUAAAUAUUUAAAGAGGUAAUUGUAGAAGUUUUAUGUUAUAAAGUAUACAGAGAUGAUAGUAUAUAAAAGUUCACAAAGAACUUAAUAAUUUACUUUGGCGCUGCACACGUAGAAAUUCCAAGACGGACCACUGUCCAGGAUUCUUUUUAAACAUACGAUUAAAUUUUUACCAAUGCAUUUUUCUUUACUUUUUGUAACACAGAGAAUUUAAAAUAUCCUAAAACCGUUCAAUUCAUUUCAGAUCGACGACUGUAAAAGUCAGUGUAUGAGAGAUUAAAUAAGAAAAUUUUUACUUAUUCUAUACAAGAAUUAAUAUUAGGAAAACAAACAAACAAAUUUGACAUUGAAACAAAACCGCAAUAAGGACUAAUACAUCUUUACAUAUGCAAACAACAAUUGUGGUAAAGAUAACUAUAUCUAUGCCAUAAUUUUGCUAUGAACAUGAGAAUAUGAAGAAUCCAUGAAAUUUAUGUAUUGUCAUGAACGGCAAACCGACAUGUCUCGAGCUGAAAAAUGCUGGAGAUAGAUUAAAUGUUCCUUACGUGGCGUCUCUAUAUUGAAAAUAAAUAUUAUAGAACUAAUAUGAUCUUUAUAAUUUUGAGUGUCAAUGUUUUCUUAUUUUGAUUAACUUUGCUUUAUUACCCUCUUUGGAUUCAAUAUAACAUUCUACUUUUAAUAAAAAAAUGCAACUUCAAAUAAUCACCACUUCCACUCCUUUAGCAUGUCGAAAGAUUAUUAUUUCAACAUAAAGAGUAAUUAUUCUUAUAACAUACACAAAAUAGUUAUCCACAACCCAAUCAUUCCGAACCCGAAAUAUUGCAAACCACAAUGCACCGAAUAUGAGAUCAAAUUUUUGUAAAAGAAAACAACAUAAAAACCAUUCGAAGCCCUCACAACAUAUCAAUGCCACAACUCUUAAACAACUAUUGUGAACAAGCAAAAUAUAUCUUAUCAUAUUUAAUCCCUCCUCACGUAAAAAUUUCUAACAGACAAAAAUCAUUAUCAUAUCUAUCACUUACAAAUGCAAUCCUAAAACAUAAACCAUAAAAUCAUACAAAAAUAAUAAUCUAGAUCGCAAGUAAAGUAUAUCCCGCCCGUAGGACGGGCCGACCCUGGUAUCUAUUAUUAUAAAAGACUGUUUCCUUCUCUCCCAGCCCUCCACCUCAGAUUCCAGCGAGAUAUGUCGAAGUCUAUCGUCGUGACACGUGUGCGAUGAAUCUGAUGAUGAUUUCUUGGAUUGAGAAGUCUUGGUGUCGUUUCAUCUCAUGUUCUUCUCCCAAGAACCCUUAUGCAAUGAAAUGAUUGUCUUUCACUAACGACCCAUCUUAUGCACACACACAAAAAAAAAGCUCUACUCUGUUUGAUGUUGGCUAUCUGAGUCAGACUUUGCUUAAUAGUUUAAUGUAUGAUUAAUGAGAAAGCCAGGGUCUGCUUCCCAAGAUAGAAGAGGUGGGUUUGAUUACAGAAAAGAUGAAAUUAACCAGACACAUGAAAAGGUGAUUAGAACACUUGAAUCAUGCAACUUGAUAGGAAAACUCGGAACCUAACAUCAUCUUGGAGAUUGGGACUAGCAGAAGAGGUAACAUCAGGCUCUCAUGACGUCUCUGAUGCUGUGGAAACAUGACCAAAGAUCUCUGCAAGGGUUGUACCGGGUCAAGAGUUAUUCUGUUUCAGUAGAGAUCCUGAAGAAUGUUUCUUGCGAUUGUUUAUGAGAACUUUGUCGGCUGUGUUGUGCUUAUUGUAGAGAUUUGGGAUGCUCUUUAGCACUGAGGGGUUUGAUAUUUUUGCGAACGAUCGAGUAUUUGGAAUGGUCUCUUAAGUGGCUUCUGAAACUACACAAUAUCAGAGAUUACUGUGAAUUUAGCCAGUGUGUUAGUCUUGGAAGAUGCUUCGGUUGGACCGAAUUGAAAUAUAUGUAAACAUGAAUUAUAUAUAUAUAAUUAUUUUAUAGUCAAGGCAACCAUUAAAAAUCCAACUAUUUCUUUAUACUAAAACCUUCGGAAGGAAGAUGUAUUUCAGGCUUUCAAAUAUCACAUAAGUUACUAAUUAAUGAAUUUGUGCACAAGUUUGUUACUUGGUGUAUAUGUGAAAUACAAUUCGUAUAUAUACAUAUAAGAUUAAAAUAUGUCUUUGUAAAAUAUAUUCUGCCAAAUAAUAUAAGCAAAGUAAAAUGAAUUUAUGCAUUAAUAAGUAUAAGUCACUAGAUGGCAGUAACAACAAGCUUGACUUUUGACUUGCGAGUAAUUGAAUUUUGUUUUGUUUCACCGAACCUAGACUUGCAAAAAAAAAGGGCGAAUAUGAUGGAUUUAAGGAAAAAUUUGUAUAAAUACAUACAUAACUCCAUUACAGGAUAACUAAAAUAAAAUAAGGAGUGAGUCUAAAAUAACUUUUUCAUUUUUUAGUCGCAAAUUCUAGUUUUGAAAAAUUAAAUUUGAAAAUGAUUAAACCACAGCCAAUAGUUAAUACAUAAUCAGAAAAUUGUAAGAAAAAUAAAAACUAACAAGAUAUAAUAAAUAUAAUGACAAAAUUAUUGAAAUACAUAAAAUAAUCCAUAAUACAUAAUUUCAAGAAUAAAUAUGGAAAAUUCAUAACAACAACAAAUAGAAGUAUAUAGGUUUUUAAAAUAUAUAUGUUUUAAAUGAAACAACACAUCUGAUUACAUAACACAUAAAUAUAAUAGUAUUUUUUUAGAAAUACACAAAGUAACUAAUCAAUACACACAUAAUAUUGUUGGGUGAAAAAAAAACCCUGCAACUUCAGAUAGAAAGUUAUAUGAAUAGAUAUAUAAAUAUUUAUACAAUUCAUUGAUAUAUAAUAGUUUCAAAAAUCUCAUAUAUAUAUAUAUAUUCCCAAAAAAUAAUUAAACACUGAUUACUUUUAACGAUACUAUAGUUAUGUAGUUCUCGGAUUACAAUGCCAAAAUUUAACAAUCUUAUUAACAUAUUAUUCACAGCUAUAUGUUUCUAAUCAAUUUAUUCCACUUAUGUUUAUUUCAUCCCAUAUUCAGAUAUAAAUAAAUAUAUAUUAAUAUAAUACUUACUAAGGGUUUCAAGGAAACAAUUAAAAUUACAUUAUUUCCAUUCGGAAAGACAGAGCAAAAAAGCAAAACCAUCAAAAAAUAUUACUCGCUUAGUUUUCAAAGUUCCAUAAUCUUAAAUUUCAUGAAUCUACCAAUUACUUAUCAAAUUAUAACAAAACUCAAACAAUAUAUCAAACUCACAUAUAUGUCUCUCUCUAACAAAUGUAAGACUAUAAAACAUAAAAACAACCAAUGCUUAUUAAAUAAUAUUCCAUAAUAUCAGACAUGCCUUGCAAAAACAAACGAAAAUAUAAAUAAAUUAAAACAAGCAAUGUUUAUUAUACAUAUACUUUAGUUUUGAAAUUAUUUUUAUAAUUCACAUCUCAUCCCGUCCGUAGGGUGGACCAACCUUAGUAUAUUUAUAUAAAGAAUAAAUUUGCUCUCUUCUCAUCAAGACACGUCAGUAAAUAGGUGCAGGAGAAGCUUACACCUGUCUUUCUUUUACCGAAUUUUGCUUUAGUUUACAAUCUGAAUGGGACUUUGUCUUAUACUUAGUGGGUUCUUAUUUUGUUAUUAAUUUUGUCAAAGUCAUAAUUACAGCCCGAUACAGAGAGACCAAUGUCUUGUUCGUGAAAAUACCAAAAAAGGGUUCUCUUAAUCUUCUUCGAUUCUCAAGCUUUGAGUGCGCCGUUUCGUCUUUUGUUCUUAUCCUCCAAAUGGUUACGAGAUGUUUCAACGCCAUUACGACCUUCUUAACUCCUAAACCCAAUUCAACCACAAUUACUCAUUCAAUGCAUCUUACCUCUAUUCAAGGCGGUGGAUCUCUAACUAUAAAAAGGUAAGAAGCUUAUCUCAUAAAUCUCAUCCUCACCGCAACCAAACCUGCGAAUCCUAGCCUCCCAAAUCGAAACUCUCAUCAGACAAUCUAUCUCCAGUUCUAUCUCACAUCGCUGUCCAAAUCCGACAUGAGCCAGACAAUCGUUUGCGGAGGAGGACUAUAAUGAUCAGACUCUUGCUGUCAUGUCUCGAUUGCCUAGAGUAAACAUUGUCUCACAUGUCCCCACCGGCCCCAUAAACAUUUGAAACAUAAAUCAUACUCUAAUGCACCAGCUGAUGACAUUUGUUCAUUUUAGUGGUGUACGUAUUGUCAUGUAAUUUGGGUAUGGGAACGAGCUACUAUGGCAGCUUUGUCGCCACAGAAACUGAAGAUCAGUGUUGUUUUCUCCGCAGAUCACUUGCAGCUAAAAAAGAACAUUUUACGGAUUUAAAGAUGGCCCAGAUGGGAUCAUGAAAUGCAAAUAGGUUAACUUGAAUGCAGAAUUCAUUCAGCUUUUAAGAAACCAUAUACUUAGACUGUAAUGAUAUAUGGAUAUUUGCUAAAAACUUUAUCUAAGAAUGAGAUUCUACAAAUUUUCAUCAUCAUUUAGAUCUUUGUGUUAUAGACACUCCGGUAUUCAA